UCAACAAUCCAGCAAACAUCAUGAAGCUGCCUUCUGUAUGCCAGGCACGGAACUGGAACUUCUCAGCUGCCUGUCAUCCACUAGAAAGAGCUUAGCAGACGUCUUCACUUUAUGAGUUACGGAGGGGCAGAAAGACUCUUCAGAUGAAACCUCCACCCUCUGCCAGUCAAUUUGUUCACCAUACCCACAAAAAUAAAAUGUUAAUGAUUCCACCA